AUACGGAGGGUGCAAGCGUUGUCCGGAAUUAUUGGGUGUAAAGGGUGUGCAGGCGGGGCGGUAAGUCAGGGGUGAAAGUCUACGGCUCAACCGUAGGAUGGCCUUUGAUACUGUCGUCCUUGAGUCCCGGAGAGGCCAUUAGAAUUCGUGGUGUAGCGGUGAAAUGCGUAGAUAUCACGAGGAAUACCGGAAGCGUAGGCGGAUGGCUGGACGACGACUGACGCUCAGGCACGAAAGCGUGGGGAGCGAACAGGAUUAGAUACCCUGGUAGUCCACGCUGUAAACGAUGGAUGCUCGGUGUUCGACUCCGUUAGCGGGUUGAGUGCCCAAGUUAACGCGAUAAGCAUCCCACCUGGGGAGUACGCUCGCAAGAGUGAA
rnacentral:rRNA from 1 species